rnacentral:lncRNA from 1 species
AGCACACCUCUGUCAUUGCCAUCGCUACAACUGUAACUUACUCUGUGAUUACCCAUUAUUUUUCUCCACACAAGUUUUACCCACGUAAACUUGCUAUUGAUAUGAAUGCAAAUAAUGUGACACUAUAAUGACAAAUUAGGGAGAUAAAGCUGAAGAAAAUUAGAUGAACAUUAGAUGCCACAUUCUGUAGGAACUGUGUAUUCUUGUGUAUGGCUUUCAAAAUACAUUAAAUAAUACUAAUUUUAGCUUUACAGAACUUGAAUCACUGGAGAGGUUUGCAAACUAAGUAAGUACUUUAGUAUCUUUAAUUUUUCUUAUGGUAUGUAUAACAUAAAUAAGCAAUCUGAAGAUUUUUAGUAACAAAGUAACUAUCAAAAACAUUUGGAGAUGCAAUUUGGGUAAGCUACCCAAAACUCAGAUUCAUGCCUGUAUACUAACUCUAUAUUGUACAAGAUAAUUCAUAUUGGAAUUGAAUUUGUGGUCAUUGCUUUAGCAAUUCUGUUGGCUAGUGAAUUGAUUCUGCUAUUUUUUCAGGUCUUUUUGGCAUGGUGAGAGAAAAUUGGAUAAAGACUGUUCAAGUCAGGAUUGUUUGCAAGCAGGUCACUGGUGGCCCUUUGCAGUCCAUGGACCACAAUGCGUCUCAGUCACUUUUGCCAUCUCUAGUAGGACAACAGAAGACUUCCAACAUGCACUGCAGUGCCUGAAGCCCCUCAAGGCGAGUGCUGUGGCUUUGCCUGCUCCUUUGUUGCUGUUUGGUGAGUUUACCUCUUUCUUUUUUUCCCUUCUUUUCCCUACUCUGACAGAAUAGCCUGCUGGGAAAGGGGACGCCUGGUAUUUAUGGAGCACAGCAAUGCAAACAAACCAGCUCCAAAUGAACCUUGACUAGGAAAAUCUGUGCCACACAGCGUGCGUUAUGUGCAAGUGACUACAAAACGUGGCCAGGCUGGUGAGGAGCUCUAAGGAACAGGGCUAUUCUCAGUCUUUUACCAGUGAUUUACCAGCACCAGCAUCUGUGAGAAAUAGAUUAAAACUAGAUUGCUAAUUAGCUUUAAAAUGUUAAUUUAUUU